rnacentral:rRNA from 1 species
AUGGAGGGACUCCUACACUGGGAUUUCUCACCUGGCCUUGCGGUCGCGGCUCAGGUGCGUCGCCAUUUUGGCUCUCAUGUCCACUUCUCCCCCACUGGAUCGACCAACGAGUUCUUCUUGGUCAUGUAUUUCUCUUUAGCAUCCUUUCCUCUUACUGAAGAAUCAGUGGCCAUUGCGCUUCAAUGUUGCAUCGGAGGAAUUCCUUCUGGUCUAAAUGUUUGA